rnacentral:rRNA from 1 species
UACAGAGGGUGCGAGCGUUGUUCGGAAUUAUUGGGCGUAAAGGGCGCGUAGGCGGUGCGGUAAGUCACCUGUGAAAUCUCCUGGCUCAACUGGGAGCUUGCAGGCGAAACUGCCGGGCUUGAGUGUGGGAGAGGUGAGUGGAAUUCCUGGUGUAGCGGUGAAAUGCGUAGAUAUCAGGAGGAACACCAAUGGCGAAGGCAGCUCGCUGGGACGUGACUGACGCUGAGACGCGAAAGCGUGGGGAGCAAACAGG